rnacentral:rRNA from 1 species
UACGAGGGGGGCAAGCGUUGUUCGGAAUUAUUGGGCGUAAAGGGCGCGUAGGCGGUGCGGUAAGUCACCUGUGAAAACUCUGGGCUCAACUCAGAGCCUGCAGGCGAAACUGCCGUGCUUGAGUGUGGGAGAGGUGCGUGGAAUUCCCGGUGUAGCGGUGAAAUGCGUAGAGAUCGGCAGGAACACCCAGGGGGAAACCAGUGGACUGGCACGGUGCUGACGCUCAGGUGCGAAAGCGUGGGGAGCGAACCGG